GAUGAACGCUAGCGGCAGGCCUAACACAUGCAAGUCGAGGGGUAGAAGGAGCUUGCUCCUUUGAGACCGGCUCACGGGUGCGUAACGCGUAUGCAAUCUACCUUGUACAGGGGAAUAGCCCAGAGUAAUUUGGAUUAAUGCCCCAUAGUAUAUAACCUUCGCAUGUUGGUUAUAUUAAAGUUCCAACGGUACAAGAUGAGCAGGCGUCCCAUUAGUUAGUUGGUAAGGUAACGGCUUACCAAGACGAUGAUGGGUAGGGGUCCUGAGAGGGAGAUCCCCCAGACUGGUACUGAGACAAGGACCAGACGGCUGGGGGCAGCAGGGAAUAGGAAUAAUGGGAAAGGGUCGCAAGACAGAACCAGCCAGGCCGUGUGCAGGAAGUCGGGCCUAUGGAGUGUAAACUGCUUUUAAACAGGAAGAAACCAUCCGACGUGUCGGAGCGUGACGGUACUGUAGGAAUAAGGAACGGCUAACUCCGUG
rnacentral:rRNA from 1 species